GUCGAACGGUAGCAGGAAGUGCUUGCACUUUGCUGACGAGUGGCGGACGGGUGAGUAAUGCUUGGGAACUUGCCUUUGCGAGGGGGAUAACAGUUGGAAACGACUGCUAAUACCGCAUAAUGUCUACGGACCAAACGGGGCUUAGGCUUCGGCGCAGAGAGAGGCCCAAGUGAGAUUAGCUAGUUGGUGGGGUAAAGGCUCACCAAGGCGACGAUCUCUAGCUGUUCUGAGAGGAAGAUCAGCCACACUGGGACUGAGACACGGCCCAGACUCCUACGGGAGGCAGCAGUGGGGAAUAUUGCACAAUGGGGGGAACCCUGAUGCAGCCAUGCCGCGUGUGUGAAGAAGGCCUUCGGGUUGUAAAGCACUUUCAGUUGUGAGGAAAAGUGAGUAGUUAAUACCUGCUCACCGUGACGUUAACAACAGAAGAAGCACCGGCUAACUCCGUGCCAGCAGCCGCGGUAAUACGGAGGGUGCGAGCGUUAAUCGGAAUUACUGGGCGUAAAGCGCACGCAGGCGGUUUGUUAAGCUAGAUGUGAAAGCCCCGAGCUCAACUUGGGAUGGUCAUUUAGAACUGGCAGACUAGAGUCUUGGAGAGGGGAGUGGAAUUCCAGGUGUAGCGGUGAAAUGCGUAGAUAUCUGGAGGAACAUCAGUGGCGAAGGCGACUCCCUGGCCAAAGACUGACGCUCAUGUGCGAAAGUGUGGGUAGCGAACAGGAUUAGAUACCCUGGUAGUCCACACCGUAAACGCUGUCUACUAGCUGUUUGUGGCUUUAAGCCGUGAGUAGCGAAGCUAACGCGAUAAGUAGACCGCCCGGGGGAGUACGGCCGCAAGGUUAAAACUCAAAUGAAUUGACGGGGGCC
rnacentral:rRNA from 1 species